UACGAGGGGGGCAAAUGUUGUUCGGAAUCACUGGGCGUAAAGGGAGCGUAGGCGGGUUUUUAAGUCAGGUGUUUAAUCCCGGGGCCCAACCCCGGACAGGCACUUGAAACUGGGAAUCUUGAAUAGUGGAGAGGUCAGUGGAAUUGGGGGUGUAGCGGUGGAAUGCGUAGAGAUCCCCAAGAACACCCGUUGCGAAGGCGGCUGACUGGACACAUAUUGACGCUGAGGUUCGAAAGCAUGGGGAGCAAACAGG
rnacentral:rRNA from 1 species